rnacentral:misc_RNA from 1 species
GAGAAUUGUGAUUGCUUGCAAGGUAAUUUCGUUUUCUUUUUUCCAUUCUAAAUUUCUCAUUGAUCUACUUCAUGCAAUUGGACGAUAUGAGAUCUGAAUUUCGCAGAGUAAUUAUUGCUCUUCUGUUUUUGUUUUUCUUGUUGUCGCAAUUGUCGUAGUACACUGUUCUGAGUGUGAGUGUUGUGCUGCUUCUAUUUUAGCUACUUUUCCGUUGCUGAAGUUGUGUUGUCAUUUUCAUACGCUUCUUUUAGAACUAUUUUUACUGCAUUGUGUAGUGAAGCAAAUAAAUAAACCUUGAUUGGUAG